UCGGUCACAGGGCAAUCUUCAGAGGCAAUCGUCUUCUCACUCCUCUCUCUUCAAGACGGUGUCACGGCACCAAAUGUUAGAUUUCAGCUUAUUUCUAAACUGUUCGGACAGACUCUGCGUUGUGUAUUUUCAGUCGUAGUAGUAAUUCUUGAAGUCGAAAACAAAGCAGCUUGACAGGUUGGAUUAGAGGGUUUCGACAGCCAAGGAACAAGUCAUCGACCACCGGGUCCACUAUAGAUUAUUCAACCUAAGUCUGUAUCUCGCUGUACAUCCUGGAAUAAACCAUCUAUUCAACCCUCUAAUCCAACCUGUCAAGCUGCUUUGAUUUCGACUUCAAGAAUUACUACUACGACUGAAAAUACACAACGCAGAGUCUUGCGUCUGUUCACGUGUUAUUCAUCUAUCCC
ensembl:lncRNA